GAUGAACGCUGGCGGUGUGCCUAAUACAUGCAAGUCGAGCGAACAGACGAGGAGCUUACUCCUCUGACGUUAGCGGCGGACGGGUGAGUAACACGUGGAUAACCUACCUAUAAGACUGGGAUAACUUCGGGAAACCGGAGCUAAUACCGGAUAACAUGUUGAACCGCAUGGUUCAACAGUGAAAGACGGUCUUGCUGUCACUUAUAGAUGGAUCCACGUCGCAUUAGCUAGUUGGUAAGGUAACGGCUUACCAAGGCAACGAUGCGUAGCCGACCUGAGAGGGUGAUCGGCCACACUGGAACUGAGACACGGUCCAGACUCCUACGGGAGGCAGCAGUAGGGAAUCUUCCGCAAUGGGCGAAAGCCUGACGGAGCAACGCCGCGUGAGUGAAGAAGGUCUUCGGAUCGUAAAACUCUGUUAUUAGGGAAGAACAAAUGUGUAAGUAACUAUGCACGUCUUGACGGUACCUAAUCAGAAAGCCACGGCUAACUACGUG
rnacentral:rRNA from 1 species